GAGUUCAUGGAGAUUAAGGCUCCAUAAUAGCUCUCUUCCGGGUAGCUUUCCAGAGGUCUUAACAACCUUAGGAUACUGGGACUGGCAGAGGUCUCCAAGAUAUCUGGCCCAGGUCAGGAAUAAUGCCCAGAAAAGAGAAAAGAUUUGUUCUCUUUGUGAGUCAAGCUGGGCUGCAAAACAAGCCAGAACUAGGACCCAGGUCUUUUGAUUCUCAGCUGGUGUUUUUUUCUGUCACACACUUCAACAGGCUGAAAUUUAUACCUAAGUAUUUCAUGUUUCUUUAUGCUAUUGUAGGUGGUAUUUUAAAGCUUUUUUCAAUAUCUGAUUUCUUACUGCUAAUACAGUAUUAAUUGAUUUUUUUGCAUAUUAAGUUUGUAUCCUGUAACUGCUAAACUCAUGUAUUCUGGUAGCCCCUUUGUAGAGUCUGUUGCGUUUUCUGCAUAGAUGAGCAUGUCUAAAUAAAGACAGUUUUGUUUUUUCCUUUCUCAUCUGGAUUCUUUCUUUUUCUUGUCUUACUACAUUGUCUAGAAACUCUAGUAUGAUGUUGAAUAGAAUUGGUGAGAGUGUCUUAGAGGGAUCCUUAUCUUAGGGGGAAGUAUUUAGUCUUUCAUCACUAGGUAUAUUAGCUUUAGGUUUUUCCUAGGUAAUCAAGUAAGUUCUCUUAUAUUCCUAAACUGCUGGGAGUUUUUAUUAGGAAUGGGUAUUGGAUUUUGUCAAAUGCUUUUUCUGUGUUGAUUGAGAUGAUUGUAUGAAUUUUCUUUUUUAGUUUGUUAAUGUGAUUUCAUUGUUUUUCAAAUGUUAAGCUAAUCCUGCAUUCCUUGAAUAUACCCCACUUGGCAAUGAUAUAUUAUCCUUCUAAUAUAUUGUUGGAUUUGAUUUCUUUUUAUUUUGUUAAAAAUUUUUGUAUCCAAAUUCUUGAGGGAUAUUGGUUUCUAAUUUUCUUGUACAGUGUUUGUUUGGUUUCAGUGUCAGGGUGCUACCUCAUAGAAUGAGUUAGGAAAUAUUUUCUCCUUAGUUUUCUGGAAGAGUUUAUGUACUAUUGGCAUUAUUUCCUUCUGAAAUGUUUGGUAGAGUUAUCAGUGAAGUCAUCUCAGCCAGGAGAUUUCUUUGUACGUAGGUUUUUUGUCCAAUUUAAAAAAUAAAAUGUAUGGGUGCAUUACAUAUAUAAUAAGAUACAUAAUAUAUAAAAUAUGUAAAAUGUGUAUUCUAUUGAGUGAGCUUUAGUAGUUUGUCUUUCAAGGAAUUUGUCCUUUAAUCUUAGUUGUCAAAUUUAUUAACAUAAAAUUGUUCAAAACAUUUCUUUCUGUAAAAAAAAAUGUAAAAUAAACAUAACAUAAAAUUUACCAUUUUAACCAUUUUUAAUUGUGUAAUUCAUUGCCAUUAAGUACAUUCACAGUGUUGUAAAGUCAUUACCAGUAUCCAUUUCCAGAAUUUUUUAUCAUCCCAAACAGAAACUCUGUACUCAUUAAAUAAUAACUCCCUAUUUCUCCCUAUCCCCAGCCCCUGGUAACCUCUGUUUUACUUUCUGUAACUGUAUUUGUAAAUUCUGUAUACCUCUUAUAAAUGGAAUCAUGCUAAUAUUGUCA